UACGUAGGGGGCAAGCGUUGUCCGGAUUUAUUGGGCGUAAAGAGCUCGUAGGCGGUUCGGCAAGUCAGAUGUAAAAACUCCAGGCUCAACUUGGAGAGGCCAUCUGAUACUGCCGUGACUAGAGUCCGGUAGAGGAGCACGGAAUUCCUGGUGUAGCGGUGAAAUGCGCAGAUAUCAGGAGGAACACCGAUGGCGAAGGCAGGUCUCUGGGCCACUACUGACGCUGAGAAGCGAAAGCAUGGGGAGCGAACAGG
rnacentral:rRNA from 1 species